rnacentral:lncRNA from 1 species
UCAGGAACAAGCAAAUCAAGAGAAGUCCAAAAAAAAGAAAGGCUCACCAAGAAAAUACAAGCCAAUGUCGUAUAAUAUAUCAAUCUGACGGCAAUUCAGAGACCGUCGAUCAUGCAAAAGGAUGCGACCAGCCAAGGAAUUCUGCGAACACGAUUUCCAAAAUUCAGUCAACAGUCUUGGUCUUUGGUCAAGUCAAUAUUCCUAGUCAAGUCUUCAUAGUUUUAAGAGCUUUAUAGUUUCAGUGAUUGACUAGAUUAUUUAAUUUUACAAAUUGCCUAUUAUAUAAAGGUUUGUUUUGUAUUGUUUUUAUUCAUUCAACCCUUUUAAUAAAAAUUUACUUUUUAAAUUUGUUGAAUCCUUUGUUCUUUGGAACAUCGUAAUGCUACGAGAGUGAUCUCCGUAAGCACGGUCACGUUCACUAGUGGGGCUGCCUCUCACGGACUAAGACCAACCAACAAGUAUCUGGCCUUCCGCAGCCUUAUACUGAAGAACCAUCGAUCCACCUUUCCUUUAAUCCAUCUUUGGGUCAAAGCUUAUCCUUUUCACCAACCUUCGAGUGCAUUCCUUGGGAGAUUUUCUAUUAUUUGGUAUCAGAGCACACUUGAGGGUUCGGUGUUCACUUCUGUCAUUCAUCAUUCUCAUCUUUCCAUCUUCUACAAAAAAAAAAAAAAAAAAAAAUCCACGAGAAAACAAGAGAUCAUUCCAUCUGAAGUUAAACCGAGACUGCUCCUCCAUCUCUCGUAAUGGCUCUAGGAGAUUGCUUCUCCAAAAGCAACCUGUUUUGAUCACUAGUGGGGCUGCCUCUCACGGUCACAGGUUCUAAACAUUAAGUCGGAUUUGAGGGCAAAUCCUUUUGAAGGAGGAGGGGAUGAUGUGACCUUGUUCAGGAACAAGCAAAUCAAGAGAAGUCCAAAAAAAAGAAAGGCUCACCAAGAAAAUACAAGCCAAUGUCGUAUAAUAUAUCAAUCUGACGGCAAUUCAGAGACCGUCGAUCAUGCAAAAGGAUGCGACCAGCCAAGGAAUUCUGCGAACACGAUUUCCAAAAUUCAGUCAACAGUCUUGGUCUUUGGUCAAGUCAAUAUUCCUAGUCAAGUCUUCAUAGUUUUAAGAGCUUUAUAGUUUCAGUGAUUGACUAGAUUAUUUAAUUUUACAAAUUGCCUAUUAUAUAAAGGUUUGUUUUGUAUUGUUUUUAUUCAUUCAACCCUUUUAAUAAAAAUUUACUUUUUAAAUUUGUUGAAUCCUUUGUUCUUUGGAACAUCGUAAUGCUACGAGAGUGAUCUCCGUAAGCACGGUCACGUUCACUAGUGGGGCUGCCUCUCACGGACUAAGACCAACCAACAAGUAUCUGGCCUUCCGCAGCCUUAUACUGAAGAACCAUCGAUCCACCUUUCCUUUAAUCCAUCUUUGGGUCAAAGCUUAUCCUUUUCACCAACCUUCGAGUGCAUUCCUUGGGAGAUUUUCUAUUA